GAUGAACGCUGGCGGCGUGCCUAAUACAUGCAAGUCGAGCGAAUGGAUUAAGAGCUUGCUCUUAUGAAGUUAGCGGCGGACGGGUGAGUAACACGUGGGUAACCUGCCCAUAAGACUGGGAUAACUCCGGGAAACCGGGGCUAAUACCGGAUAACAUUUUGAACCGCAUGGUUCGAAAUUGAAAGGCGGCUUCGGCUGUCACUUAUGGAUGGACCCGCGUCGCAUUAGCUAGUUGGUGAGGUAACGGCUCACCAAGGCAACGAUGCGUAGCCUGCCUGAGAGGGUGAGCGGCCACACUGGGACUGAGACACGGCCAGACUCCUACGGGAGGCAGCAGUAGGGAAUCUUCCGAAAUGGACGAAAGUCUGACAGAGCAACGCCGCGUGAGUGAUGAAGGCUUUCGGGUCGUAAAACUCUGUUGUUAGGGAAGAACAAGUGCUAGUUGAAUAAGCUGGCACCUUGACGGUACCUAACCAGAAAGCCACGGCUAACUACGUGCCAGCAGCCGCAGUAA
rnacentral:rRNA from 1 species